ACUCCUACGGGAGGCAGCAGUGGGGAAUUUUGCGCAAUGGGGGAAACCCUGACGCAGCAACGCCGCGUGAGUGAUGAAGGCCCUUGGGUCGUAAAGCUCCGACAGAGGGAAAGAAAUGUGGGUGGCUAAUAUCCAUACCACUUGACGGUACCCUCAAAGGAAGCACCGGCUAACUCCGUGCCAGCAGCCGCGGUAAUACGGAGGGUGCGAGCGUUGUUCGGAUUUAUUGGGCGUAAAGCGCGUGUAGGCGGUUUUAUAAGUCUGAUGUGAAAGCCCCGGGCUCAACCUGGGAAGUGCAUUGGAUACUGUAAGACUUGAACACGGGAGAGGGCAGUGGAAUUCCUAGUGUAGGAGUGAAAUCCGUAGAUAUUAGGAGGAACACCGGUGGCGAAGGCGGCUGCCUGGACCGAUAUUGACGCUGAGACGCGAAAGCGUGGGUAGCAAACAGGAUUAGAUACCCUGGUAGUCCACGCCGUAAACGAUGAGAACUAGGUGUCGCGGGUA
rnacentral:rRNA from 1 species